rnacentral:rRNA from 1 species
UAAAGGUGCAUGGAAUAAUGGAAUAUGAUCAUGGUUUUAUUUUAUUGGUUUUAGAGACCAAGAUAAUGAUUAAUGGAAGCAACUGGGGGCAUUCGUAUUGCSACRUUAGAGGUGAAAUUCUUGGAUCGUCGCAAGCAACCACUGCGAAAGCAUUUGCCAAAGGUGUUUUCAUCAAUCAAGAACGAAAGUUAGAGGUUCGAAGGCGAUUAGAUACCGCCCUAGUUCUAACCAUAAAUGAUGCCAGCCAGCGAU